UGGUUGUAAUUUAGAAUUAAGUGCUGCUUAUCAAUGCUUGGUUGAUUGACUUCUAAUGCCAACUUUAUCUUCCUUGUUUAUUAUUGUGUCUUUAAGAGGGAACAGAACAUAUGGACUGCUAAAUUAAAUCAAUAUCCAUUUCACCAGGCUUCUGAUUACAAUAACUUUUUACUCCAAGGAAAGAGAGCACUAAGAUUUUAUGAACACAAAAAGACUGAAGAAUCAAAUCUCAGCAGCAGUGAAGAUGAAACUGAUAAAGGCUGGGACUUCAGAGGAGACUCUCAUUACAGCAUGCACAAUACGAAGCAUAAAUGAACUCAAAAGGAAUUUUUUUCUCUCUCUGUAACUGGAUCAGCAACAGAAGGUUUCUGACUUGACAGCACUUAAUUGCUUGUCAUAAUUUUUUCCUGAGACAAUGUGGUUUAUUAGUUACAAUUGAGUAAGCAGCGAGAGGUUCUGGGUGCAAAUUUGGUAUGAUUUUUUCAUUCUUUGUGAGGCCUUUGGUAACACCUGGCUUAAAUGAAGUUGUACUUACUACCCAGUUGUACAAGUGGCAAGUAAUUUAUUCUAACAUCACAUAAUGACUCAGUUGACCUAGCUUGUGGUAGAUCUCAGGAUUCUACAGGAUCCCUGUUUUUGUACUACCUGUUUGAUCGGCAGACUAUUAAAAUAACAGGUGGGCAUUCCCACUAUUCUGGUGCAGAACUCUUAAGGAUUUGAUCCACCAAAGGAUUUAAUAAGGCAGAAGUUCUAUGCUAAAUUCUUAUCCUAAUAAAUAGUACUGAAAUAUGUGGGAGAUUAUUCA
rnacentral:lncRNA from 1 species